ACAGAGAAAAUGUUGAGAUGAGAGAGAAAAUAUCUCUGUUGAUAAAGGGUUUCUGAUUUUUUUUUUCAAUUGGGCAACAAUAGGGAUGACAGAGAAAAUGUUGGAGUGAGGGAGAUGACAGAAAAAAUGUUGGAGUGAGAGAGAUGAAAGAGAAAGGGUUGAGAGGAAUGAGGGAGGUGAGUAAGGGUUUGGUGGUUUCUUUUUUUUUUUAGUUUUGAAAAUGAAAAUUAUUUAAAUAUCUUUGACCUUAAAACUUAGAAUCCAUGAUAAAUGAGGGAUUUUUUUUUUCUACUAUAAUCCGGUACACAUUGUUAAAACGUACCAACUGACAAACAGACGUACGCGUGUUAACAAAC
rnacentral:lncRNA from 1 species